rnacentral:ncRNA from 1 species
GUGUUUUAUGAAAGAAGAGAAAGUCUCCUUGUCGAGGCUGGAAGAGGCUCUGGAAACCGGGAAUCAGCAUGUGGGUCAGGCACUGCCGUCUGCGUCUCAUCAUCCCUCAUCUUUGA